AGUGCUCCAAUGUUUCUAUGGAAUGUUUUUCUUAUGUCACGGGAACAAUAUUUUGCUUAAUGGGUAAAUACUCAUAGUUGGUGGUCACCCUUCACGGUUUUUUAUUUAGUCGGCUAUUUAAUUGUUUUAUAUAAUAGAAUGUACUGUAGGUUUGAGGGAGAACGAUACUUUGCCCCGAGGAUAGCCAAUUAAAAUCACUUGCUAUUUAGUCUUCGGGUUACUGGCAUGCGUUGUUAUACACCUAAGUAAUACUGACUAUUUCGCCUAGUUGUAUAAAUCUAUAUGAGUAUAAUAUGUAAUUUGCUUGUUGAAUUAAAGAGUUAACAUAUACAAAACAUAUUAUCAUUUCAGUAGGUCUCUCCCUCGAAGCGACUCGACCAAGUUUAUAAGCUCUCGACAAAGCAUGGUACCUGUGUAUGUGCUAUAAUAUAUAAACAUUUACAAAUAAAUUUGUAUGCGCUCUGUC